AUGAGCUCGACGGACUCCUCCUCGGACACAUCAGACUCGGACUCAUCGGACCUCCGGCCGGCGACCAGCGUGGGCGCCCGCCGCCUGUUCGACCGAAUGCCUCCGGGGAUCGACUGCAUCGGCACCCUCCCGGACGGGAUCCUCCACCACAUCCUGUCCUUCCUCCCGGCGCAGGAGGCGGUGCGGACGUGCGCCCUCGCCCGGCGCUGGCGUCACCUCUGGAAGUCCACCACUGGCCUGCUCAUCGUCGGCAAUAAGGGUCCGGUAUCUGUCCAGGUUCUCCGGAAAUUCGUGGACCAUCUGCUGAUCCUGCGCGAGCGCACGGACCUAGACACCGUUGAGAUCCGAUUCAGAAAAUUCCGUGAAGACGACGUGCCCUUUGUGAACCUAUGGGUCCGUUUUGCUGUGCAGAGCAAAGUUCGUGCGCUCACCAUUUUUCACUAUGACAGUAACCGAUCUUUCAACCUAGAUGGCCUGCCCUUCGUCUCUCGGUAUCUGAGGACAUUGGUCCUUGGUGGUGUUGGCUUACAAGGAACUCUUCUUGAUUUUUCUAGCUGCCCAGCAUUGGAGGAUCUCACGAUUGGUUUCUCUGUCAUCAAUGUUGGCAAGAUAUCGUCACUGUCCUGA
rnacentral:rRNA from 1 species